rnacentral:rRNA from 1 species
UACGAAGGGUGCAAGCGUUGCUCGGAAUUAUUGGGCGUAAAGGGUAGGUAGGUGGUUACGUAUGUCUGAGGUGAAAGCCCUGAGCUUAACUUAGGAAGUGCCUUGGAAACGGCGUAACUAGAGUACUGGAGAGGUUUGUAGAAUUCCCGGUGUAGCGGUGAAAUGCGUAGAGAUCGGGAGGAAUACCAGAGGCGAAGGCGGCAAACUGGACAGUAACUGACACUGAACUACGAAAGCGUGGGGAGCAAACAG